rnacentral:rRNA from 1 species
GUGUGGGAUGAGCCCGCGGCCUAUCAGCUUGUUGGUGGGGUGACGGCCUACCAAGGCGACGACGGGUAGCCGGCCUGAGAGGGUGUCCGGCCACACUGGGACUGAAAUACGGCCCAGACUCCUACGGGAGGCAGCAGUGGGGAAUAUUGCACAAUGGGCG